rnacentral:rRNA from 1 species
AUGCAAGUCGAGCGACAGAUGAGAAGCUUGCUUCUCUGAUGUUAGCGGCGGACGGGUGAGUAACACGUGGGUAACCUACCUAUAAGACUGGGAUAACUCCGGGAAACCGGGGCUAAUACCGGAUAAUAUUUUGAACCGCAUGGUUCAAUAGUGAAAGACGGUUUCGGCUGUCACUUAUAGAUGGACCCGCGCCGUAUUAGCUAGUUGGUAAGGUAACGGCUUACCAAGGCGACGAUACGUAGCCGACCUGAGAGGGUGAUCGGCCACACUGGAACUGAGACACGGUCCAGACUCCUACGGGAGGCAGCAGUAGGGAAUCUUCCGCAAUGGGCGAAAGCCUGACGGAGCAACGCCGCGUGAGUGAUGAAGGUCUUCGGAUCGUAAAACUCUGUUGUUAGGGAAGAACAAAUUUGUUAGUAACUGAACAAGUCUUGACGGUACCUAACCAGAAAGCCACGGCUAACUACGUGCCAGCAGCCGCGGUAAUACGUAGGUGGCAAGCGUUAUCCGGAAUUAUUGGGCGUAAAGCGCGCGUAGGCGGUUUCUUAAGUCUGAUGUGAAAGCCCACGGCUCAACCGUGGAGGGUCAUUGGAAACUGGGAAACUUGAGUGCAGAAGAGGAGAGUGGAAUUCCAUGUGUAGCGGUGAAAUGCGCAGAGAUAUGGAGGAACACCAGUGGCGAA